rnacentral:ncRNA from 1 species
AAAAGACUUAGUCCUAACCUUACCAUUAAUUCUUGCUAGACAUAUACAUGCAAGUAUCCGCGCUCCAGUGUAAAUGCCCUCAAUCCCUACCCCUUAGGUAAGAGGAGCUGGCAUCAGGCACGCCCGUUGCAGCCCAAGACGCCUUGCUUAGCCACACCCCCACGGGUACUCAGCAGUAAUUAACAUUAAGCCAUAAGUGUAAACUUGACUCAGUCAUAGCAAACCAGGGUUGGUAAAUCUUGUGCCAGCCACCGCGGUCACACAAGAGACCCAAAUUAAUCGUACACGGCGUAAAGAGUGGACCCAUUACUAUCACACCAAUUAAGGUCAAAACGUAACUGAGCUGUCAUAAGCUUAAGAUACAUUUAAAGCCGCCCUAAAGAUGACCUUAACACUCACGAUCAAAUAAAUUCCACGAAAGCCAGGACACAAACUGGGAUUAGAUACCCCACUAUGCCUAGCCCUAAAUCUCGAUGCUUACCCUACUAAAGCAUCCGCCCGAGGACUACGAGCACAAACGCUUAAAACUCUAAGGACUUGGCGGUGCCCCAAACCCACCUAGAGGAGCCUGUUCUAUAAUCGACAACCCACGAUACACCCGACCACUUCUUGCCUAACCAGCCUACAUACCGCCGUCGCCAGCCCACCUCCCCUGAGAGCUCAACAGUGAGCACAAUCGCCCUAACCCCGCUAAUAAGACAGGUCAAGGUAUAGCCCAUGAAGUGGAAGAAAUGGGCUACAUUUUCUAACCUAGAAAACCAAACGGAAAGGGGUAUGAAACAACCCCUAGAAGGCGGAUUUAGCAGUAAAGGAGAAUAAUAAAGUCCCCUUUAAACCGGCUCUGAGGCACGUACAUACCGCCCGUCACCCUCCUCACAAGCCCCAAAUCUCUAUAAAUAAUGCACCCUCCCGCUAAAGAUGAGGUAAGUCGUAACAAGGUAAGUGUACCGGAAGGUGCACUUAGCACAC